rnacentral:rRNA from 1 species
GGGCCUGCAGGAAAGACGGCCUUCUGGGUUGUAAACUGCUUUUCUACGGGAAGAAAAUGCCCUUGCGAGGGAAAUUGCCGGUACCGUAGGAAUAAGCACCGGCUAACUCCGUGCCAGCAGCCGCGGUAAUACGGAGGGUGCAAGCGUUGUCCGGAUUUAUUGGGUUUAAAGGGUGCGUAGGCGGAUCUUUAAGUCAGUGGUGAAAGCCUGCAGCUUAACUGUAGAACUGCCAUUGAUACUGGAGGUCUUGAGUACACUAGAGGUAGGCGGAAUUUAUGGUGUAGCGGUGAAAUGCAUAGAUACCAUAAAGAACACCUAUAGCGUAGGCAGCUUACUGGAGUGUAACUGACGCUGAGGCACGAAAGCAUGGGUAGCGAACAGGAUUAGAUACCCUGGUAGUCCAUGCCGUAAACGAUGAUUACUCGAUGUUGGCGAUAUACAGUCAGCGUCCAAGCGAAAGCGUUAAGUAAUCCACCUGGGGAGUACGCUCGCAAGAGUGAAACUCAAAGGAAUUGA